UCGAGCGCUCGUAGCAAUACGGGAGCGGCAGACGGGAGAGUAACACGUGGGAACGUACCCUUCGGUUCGGAAUAACCCAGGGAAACUUGGGCUAAUACCGGAUACGUCCGUAAGGAGAAAGAUUUAUCGCCGAGGGAUCGGCCCGCGUCCGAUUAGCUAGUUGGUGAGGUAACGGCCCACCAAGGCGACGAUCGGUAGCUGGUCUGAGAGGAUGAUCAGCCUCACUGGGACUGAGACACGGCCCAGACUCCUACGGGAGGCAGCAGUGGGGAAUAUUGGACAAUGGGCGCAAGCCUGAUCCAGCCAUGCCGCGUGGGUGAUGAAGGCCUUAGGGUUGUAAAGCCCUUUCGGCGGGGAAGAUAAUGACGGUACCCGCAGAAGAAGCCCCGGCUAACUUCGUGCCAGCAGCCGCGGUAAUACGAAGGGGGCUAGCGUUGCUCGGAAUCACUGGGCGUAAAGCGCACGUAGGCGGGUCCUUAAGUCAGGGGUGAAAGCCUGGAGCUCAACUCCAGAACUGCCUCUGAUACUGAGGAUCUCGAGUUCGGGAGAGGUGAGUGGAACUGCGAGUGUAGAGGUGAAAUUCGUAGAUAUUCGCAAAGAACACCAGUGGCCGAAAGCGGCUCACUGGCCCGAUACUGACGCUGAGGUGCCGAAAGCGUGGGGAGCAAACAGGAUUAGAUACCCCGGUAAUUCCACGCCGUAAACGAUGGAUGCUAACCCUUUGGCGGGUUUUACCCCGUCAGUGGCGCAACUUAACCCAUUUAAGCAUCCCCGCCUGGGGAGUACCGUCGCCAAGAUUUAAAC
rnacentral:rRNA from 1 species